UCUGGGAAGGCAUGGUCCAAAGGGUGGGGGAGAAAUGAAUCAAAGGUCACUGUUACAUUGUUACCUUUCCCCACAGUAGCCCUGGGCGGUGCUCAAGGGCCGGGCCAGGCUCCCCCUUGUGUCUACCAAGAUCCAUGCCAUAAGAACUGAGUGCUGAGAGGCUGGGUCAGCACCUGUUGUUUUUUGGGAAACCAGGAUUCUUCUCAGCUAGCUUUCCACCCGUGUGACUAAGUCACUUUCUCAGGACUGCUCACACUCAAUCCUUGGGGGGGGGGGGGACCUGAGGCCUGCUCUGGUUUUCUGUGUAUACUUACACUGUGGUGAAACAGAGACAGGGAUUCAUACUGUUUGUCCAGUUUCUUAUCCUACAAAGAACAGGAAGUAAAAUGUCACUGAAACUAGGAGCCCAACCCUCAAGCAGUACCGCUUCCUGUCCACUACUCCAAGGCUGAGUGAACUCAGACCCUCUACCACAGGGCGGCAGCAGGGGUACGGCUCAGCACUGGGGCAGUGGCCCAGCACAUGAGGCCUUGUUCUACCUGCCACCCCUCCACUACCACAAAGAACCCCCAGGGACAGGUUCACUAGCUGAGAACACACGUCAGCUCCCAGGAAAGAAGUGCAGCUCUACACAACAGUGGCGAGGGUUCACAGAGGAGGGGCUUUAAGUCCUGCUUUCAAAGAUGCCUUACACUGUGGGUAGAAGGACAAGUGGGUCUGUGUGCAACACAAUCAGCUCAUAUCCACAGCGCCUGUGCACUCAGACAGUUGGCAAAGGUUAAGGUUCGUGGCCUCCCUCGGUCCUGACUCCGCCGGCCCAAAACAUAGCCUUUCACAGAACUGAAUCUUGAUCCCCACAUUGUAUUUCUGCGGAGGCUGAAUGCUAACUGACAAAGGGAAAGGCAGCAACCCAAGAACUGGGCCACAACUUAAUGUCUGGUGACAUGAAUGCAUUCUGUGGCUAGAAACAAACCACCAAGUGGUUCUGCUCUGAAAUCAAGACCAGCUUCAUGGUCCACAUGUACACCUUUCAGUGAACACAAAAUCUGCUCAACAUUGCAGCAGCAGCACUGGGGAGGGAUGCCACUGCUGUCCUGAGACGCAUCUUCUAACAAAGCCUCAAGCCCAUCGCUACGACAGCAGCUCUGCUUUAGUAUGAGUGCCCAGUGCCUUCCACACUGCAAGAGUCAGGAGGCACUGAGAGCUUCAGACACCAAGCCUCAUCUUUCAUCUGUAAGGCACCUACUCCCUAUUCGUGCAAGCUUCUCGACGGCUCUGUAAAAUAUUUGAUCACUUACCACACAGUGGACAAGAAUGCUGAAAGGAAUCCAGAAUAUCAAGGAGAAAACCAGGACGGACCCUACGAUG